rnacentral:lncRNA from 1 species
GGUAAGUAGAUCUGAUCUUUCUUUUCUAACAUCUUUAUUGAAAGAUUUAACCAUAGAACAAGACGCGGUAAGUACACCUUUUCGCCUUGCGGAACUUUAUGAACAAAUCGCUGCUAUGAGAAGUUUUGUUAUAGACCAAGCUGAACAAGCUUUUGAAGAACAACAACUCCAACAAGUACAUGCAUGUGAAAGAUUCUAUGGACAACCAAGAUAUGCAAUACCUGAAGAUACCAGAACUAAUCUUUAUAAGAUGUUGGAGAC